GGACAGAUGGCCGAGCGGUUUAAGGCACCGGUCUUGAAAACCGGAGGGGGCGCAAGCUCUCCGCGAGUUCGAAUCUCGCUCUGUCCGCCA
rnacentral:tRNA from 1 species